rnacentral:rRNA from 1 species
UACGUAGGGAGCAAGCGUUGUCCGGAAUCAUUGGGCGUAAAGCGCGCGUAGGUGGCCCCAUAAGUCCGCUGUGAAAGUCAAAGGCUCAACCUUUGAAAGCCGGUGGAUACUGUGGGACUAGAGUACGGAAGAGGCGAGUGGAAUUCCUGGUGUAGCGGUGGAAUGCGUAGAUAUCAGGAGGAAUACCGGUGGUGUAGACGGCUCUCUGGACCGCAACUGACGCUGAGACACGAAAGCGUGGGUAGCAAACAGG